AUAUGUAUUCCAUGUUUAGAUGUGACGCCGCCCCAACCCAAGGUUGCCACAUCAUCUGGUGACACCCCAAGUUAUAGAUUCCGAUCAGAUGUUCCUGCUCCACCUUCUAACACUGCCUUAGGUGGAAAGGCUUCACUCUUGCCAAAGCGCACACCAGUCUCAGAUAAAGAGAUCGAGGCUAUUUUGUUGGGUGGUUGCUUUUAAUGCUACUGUGAUGUGGGGGCAGAGCUGUUCCUCACCCUCCUGAAUAAUACUACACUGGAGUUUUGUGAUGACAUCUCCAAGUACAUUAAUGGUCUGUCUUUGGACCAUCCUUAUUUUUCUCCAGAACAUGAGGUUUAAACCUGAAUAUUGUUACAUUCCUGCAUUUCUUCCAAGAUUGAUGCGACAUUGCCAAGAUGUUAUUUUCUUUCUAAACAAGCCCUUGAGAUGCUCAGUUGAAGCUUAUUCUUGUGAUGGUGACUUCUUAAUGUUUGCUCUUGAUCUUUUUCA